GCCUUGAUAGAUCAAUUGGCAGAUCAUCCCAGCUUUAUAAGUCAUGGUCCCCGAAUAUACGGGAUGACGGAGGUUCGAAUCCUCCCCAAGGCA